rnacentral:rRNA from 1 species
UACGGAGGGUGCAAGCGUUAUCCGGAUUCACUGGGUUUAAAGGGUGCGUAGGUGGGCAGGUAAGUCAGUGGUGAAAUCUCCGAGCUUAACUCGGAAACUGCCGUUGAUACUAUUAGUCUUGAAUUUUGUUGAGGUAGGCGGAAUAAGUCAUGUAGCGGUGAAAUGCAUAGAUAUGACUUAGAACACCAAUUGCGAAGGCAGCUUGCUAAACAAAUAUUGACGCUGAGGCACGAAAGCGUGGGGAUCAAACAGG